rnacentral:lncRNA from 15 species
AUGAAUCCUUUUGUUACUGUUUAGAACAUGGGGUAGUCGUACGCUUCAGCCUCUUGUGGCCAAAAUGAGUAUCAACAACAAUAUAACAUCAAACAUGUGAAUAUCAUUGUUUGUGCGAGUAGAUUAAAUACAAAGUCAAUGUAAAGUCUCACCUGUAUCAGUCAUAAACACUGGAGAGAAAACAGUUUCUAUCAGACUUAGAAAAUAGAUCAACAGAACUACAACCUGUGACUGGUUGGACUCCUUCUAACUCCUAAUCCUCCAAUCAGCGGUGUCCUGUGGGAAACGUCCGUCACAUCACAAAUGCUCUCUGAUCUCCAUUUCCAAUAAACUGCUCUCUGUUUCCUCCAGAUGCAGUCCGAUUGGUUCAGAGGAACCACGCUGCAGGUCUACCUUUUACGACUGCUGUAGUUCUGGCUGUGUUGCUGUAUGGAGUGCAUGUUUCUGCGGCCUGCUCUGUGUCUGUGUACACACUCUUCUGUCAUCUAGUGGUCAUCAGUCCGUACUGCGUCACCACUGGUCUGAUUGUGUCCAUUUACUGCAACAGGAAGACACGAAACCAACCAGUCGUCUCCAUGGAGAUGACCCAGCGUGAUGAUGGUGAUCACAGAUUGGAUGAAGAUGAAGAGUAUGAUAACAUUGCUGCUGAUGUCACCUCUGAGCAUAUCUAUGAGUUGUGAGCACACACUGUAACACAAAGAUUUUAAGUUUUAAAUCAAACUUGAACUGUUAAGUUUUGAAAUAAAUAUGAAAAUAUAAAAAUG